AACGAACGCUGGCGGCAGGCCUAACACAUGCAAGUCGAGCGAGGACUUCGGUUCUAGCGGCGGGCGGGUGAGUAACGCGUGGGAAUGUGCCCUUCUCUACGGAAUAGCCCUGGGAAACUGGGAGUAAUACCGUAUACGCCCUAUUGGGGAAAGAUUUAUCGGAGAAGGAUCAGCCCGCGUUGGAUUAGGUAGUUGGUGGGGUAAUGGCCUACCAAGCCGACGAUCCAUAGCUGGUUUGAGAGGAUGAUCAGCCACACUGGGACUGAGACACGGCCCAGACUCCUACGGGAGGCAGCAGUGGGGAAUCUUAGACAAUGGGGGCAACCCUGAUCUAGCCAUGCCGCGUGAGUGAUGAAGGCCUUAGGGUUGUAAAGCUCUUUCAGCUGGGAAGAUAAUGACGGUACCAGCAGAAGAAGCCCCGGCUAACUCCGUG
rnacentral:rRNA from 1 species